rnacentral:rRNA from 1 species
AGAAUUUUAAUGGUCGAACAGACCAACCCUUAAAGACUUCUGCACCUUUAGGAUAUUCUGGUCCAACAUCGAGGUCACAAACCUUCUUUUCGAUUAGAACUCUCAAAGAAGAUAAUGCUGUUAUCCCUACGGUAACUAUUUCCGUUAAUCAGAAGUUCUGGAUCGAUACAAGUGAGUUUAUAUUUAAUCAAGGAAGCUUUUUAGGUUCCUUAGUCGCCCCAACCAAAAUAUUUAAUAAUUGUUUUUUAAUAGAAUAUAAUUUUAAUUUAUUAAUUUUUUUUAAGCUCGAUAGGGUCUUCUUGUCUUUUAAUUUUAUUCAGACCUUUUCAUCUGAAGGUAAAAUUCUAUUAAAUGAAAAAGAGACAGUAUUGCUCUUGUGAAACCAUUCAUUCUAGUCCUCAAUUAUAGAACAAAUUAUUAUGCUACCUUAGCACAGUUAAUAUACUGCGGCCGUUAAAAAAAAUCACUGGGCAGGUUGGACUCCUCCUAUAUAAGAUUGUCAAAGAGCC